ACCAUGGUAGCCGCUGGUAGAGGAAGAACGAUAUUAAGUUAUUUAGGUAUAAGCACGAAGUCAUCUGCCGCUUUUGCAGAGAUUAAUAUUGAUUCAUAGGGUCUUCAUGCAUGACUAAUGAUGCAGAAAUGCUACUACAUGUACACUAUAGGAGGCAUUUGGGUUUCUUGUUGGACAAGCCCUAGCGGCAGUAUAUGUGUUUGAAGCAAAUCUUGAAGAACAAGAUGAAUCUCUGCGGAACAUCACAUGAACGGUGAUCAUAUACUUGCUGUUUAGUGCAUUUUUCCGCAAGAGAGACAUAUAAGGACAUCUAACCUUUUGCUGCUGAUGAUACACGGGAAUUAGCGAAAUGGUAAGAUUAUAAGGACAUCUAACCGCGAAUGGGGCAUAUGAUAUACCACUUUGGUGUUGAUUUUCAAAAAAUUUUGGUGUUGAUUUUCAAAAUUUUGUUGAUAGGUAUAUCGUCUUUGAAUCAUUAGACGAUAUCGACCUAUCAGCAAAAUUAUGAGAAUUAACAACCGAUUAAAAUGAAAAGUUUCUCAAUCUCAUCUCUUAUUUUCAGGCUGAAGUCUAUUCCUUUAUUUUAGUCUUCGGUCCUUUUUAUUUUAUUUUCUACCUAGCUUUAUAAAAACAAUUGUGAAAUGCUUUAACAUUUCGGCAUUAUAUGAGAGAAAUCUGUACUUGAUAUCUAUAUAUCAAGGAAAUAGUGAUUUAAUUUGUAAUUGUAAACUGUUAUAUGGGAAUUUGAUAGAUAAUUACGCUCAAUGUUGGAUAACAUCAUCAAGUCAGGCAUCGGGCUUAUUCAUCA